UUUGAUCCAGAGAUUUCCGAAUGGGGAAACCCAGCAUGAGUUAUGUCAUGUUAUCGAUAUGUGAAUACAUAGCAUAUCAGAAGGCACACCCGGAGAACUGAAACAUCUUAGUACCCGGAGGAAGAGAAAGAAAAUUCGAUUCCCUUAGUAGCGGCGAGCGAAACGGGAAGAGCCCAAACCAACAAGCUUGCUUGUUGGGGUUGUAGGACACUCUAUACGGAGUUACAAAGGACGACAUUAGACGAAUCAUCUGGAAAGAUGAAUCAAAGAAGGUAAUAAUCCUGUAGUCGAAAAUGUUGUCUCUCUUGAGUGGAUCCUGAGUACGACGGAGCACGUGAAAUUCCGUCGGAAUCUGGGAGGACCAUCUCCUAAGGCUAAAUACUCUCUAGUGACCGAUAGUGAACCAGUACCGUGAGGGAAAGGUGAAAAGCACCCCGGAAGGGGAGUGAAAUAGAACCUGAAACCGUGUGCUUACAAGUAGUCAGAGCCCGUUAAUGGGUGAUGGCGUGCCUUUUGUAGAAUGAACCGGCGAGUUACGAUUUGAUGCAAGGUUAAGCAGUAAAUGUGGAGCCGUAGCGAAAGCGAGUCUGAAUAGGGCGUUUAGUAUUUGGUCGUAGACCCGAAACCAGGUGAUCUACCCUUGGUCAGGUUGAAGUUCAGGUAACACUGAAUGGAGGACCGAACCGACUUACGUUGAAAAGUGAGCGGAUGAACUGAGGGUAGCGGAGAAAUUCCAAUCGAACCUGGAGAUAGCUGGUUCUCUCCGAAAUAGCUUUAGGGCUAGCCUCAAGUGAUGAUUAUUGGAGGUAGAGCACUGUUUGGACGAGGGGCCCCUCUCGGGUUACCGAAUUCAGACAAACUCCGAAUGCCAAUUAAUUUAACUUGGGAGUC
rnacentral:rRNA from 1 species